CUUUCAACAACGGAUCUCUUGGUUCCAGCAUCGAUGAAGAACGCAGCGAAAUGCGAUAAAUAAUGUGAAUUGCAGAAUUCAGCGAAUCAUCGAGUCUUUGAACGCACAUUGCGCCCCUCGGUAUUCCGGGGGGCAUGCCUGUUCGAGCGUCA
rnacentral:rRNA from 1 species